CUAACUCUGGCUUCAGUGUAUAAUACCUGCGUGGUUUGAUUCAUUGUGGCGAGGAAUAGAAUGGUCGCAGUAGGUUUGUCCACUUUCUCUACAAGUGCCGUCCCACACCUCGAAGUUAUGUAUUUGAAAUUAAAUCAAAGUUGGAUUUUAUAUGCAAUCAAUUGGGAAUAACAAUUAAAUGUGCUCUUAAAAUGGCCAUAAACAUGCUGUGUUUCUUGUUGUGGAAUGAAAAUUUAGCUACAGAAGAAUUCAGGCUGAUUCAUCGAGAUUAUGGUCUAUCAUUGGGAUAAUACCUGUAUUACCAUACUGCACUGGUAUACCCAACAAUGGUGGAGUCUUCGUUCAAACUAUCUCAUGGAUCAGUAUGAAUGAAUAAGCUAAAUCCACAAUUAGUAGAAAAUCUUGAGUUGUUUUCAAUGUCAGAUAUUUUGAAAUAUGAAUUUGAAAACUCGCAGGGAAAGCCAGGGGAUUUAUCCAGACUUUUGAUUGACAGUUCUCGGGCUGAAGGCACUAACGAGAACGCAGAGUUGACUGUCUGAAUGUCUUUGUCGCUGUUUUACUGCUGCAAGGUUGAAGAAGAUGUUUGCUGUUUAUGAAUGAUUUCUGAAAUUUUAGUGUUUUGAAACAAUCCUUGUUGGUUUUUAACGUCAAAAUAGUCAUCGUUCUCGAAAGGAAAGUCAAUAUAAAUGAGUGAACGGCUUAGUUUUAUACUAAAAUGUUUUGUUCAUUUUGUGUUUUGUAUAACCGCUUGAUUCGCCGGUACACUUUGGGCCUAAAUUGUAUGUAUUUAUUUCACAAGUUUUUAUUGUUUAUCUUCGCUGAUUCUGUUCUAUUUUCGGGGAAUAUUUAAGUCCGAUCUUUCUUCUUUAUUUCUUUUACUAACUAUCCAUGAUAUGACGGUGUUGGU